rnacentral:rRNA from 1 species
GCGUGGCUUCCGGAGCUAACGCGUUAAGUCGACCGCGUGGGGAGUACGGCCGCAAGGUUAAAACUCAAAUGAAUUGACGGGGGCCCGCCCAAGCGGUGGAGCAUGUGGUUUAAUUCGAUGCAACGCGAAGAACCUUACCUGUUCUUGACAUCCACAGAACCUUGUAGAGAUACGAUGGUGUCACCCAGGCAGAUAAGGUGAGUUAUUAUCGCUUUGAACGGCAUAUCACCCUGACCUGAAAUAC